rnacentral:lncRNA from 1 species
GCACUAGUAUCUGUAGAAAAUCCAACAAAUUCCCACCCACCCAAUAACAUCAAAUUUCAAAUUUUCUGACCAGCAACAUUUAAAAAAUUUUGAAAUUUGAAUUUCAAAAAAAAGAAACUCUAACAAGUCACUGUCAGAAUGGAUUAACAUCAACCGUCGAAGGAGAACAUCGGCAACCACCAUGCCUUAAGGGAAGGGGAGUGUCGAAGGGAAACGUCAUCAACCAUUACGCCAAAGAGAAGAGCAUCAUCGAUCAAACCUUGCCAGUGACUGAUGAAGCCUGAUAAUAACCCAUACAAAGGACAAAGGAAUGUAGAGAAAGCUGGCUUGGCCUGGCUCGGCCAUCCAUCAUCCAGCAUCGAAAGAGACCAGCAAAGAGGAAGUAAGAAAGAG